CAACAACGGGUGGAGCCUGCGGUUUAAUUGGACUCAACGCCGGACAACUCACCGGGGGCGACAGCAAUAUGUAGGCCAAGCUGAAGACUUUGCCUGAAUCGCUGAGAGGAGGUGCAUGGCCGUCGCCAGUUCGUACUGUGAAGCAUCCUGUUAAGUCAGGCAACGAGCGAGACCCGUGCCCACUGUUACCAGCAUGUCCUCCGGGACGAUGGGUACUCUGUGGGGACCGCCGAUGUUAAAUCGGAGGAAGGUGCGGGCCACGGUAGGUCAGUAUGCCCCGAAUCUCCCGGGCUACACGCGGGCUACAAUGGAUGGGACAAUGGGUCCCUACCCCGAAAGGUGUUGGUAAUCUCACAAACCCAUUCGUAGUUCGGAUCGAGGGCUGUAACUCGCCCUCGUGAAGCUGGAAUCCGUAGUAAUCGCGUUUCAAUAUAGCGCGGUGAAUACGUCCCUGCUCCUU
rnacentral:rRNA from 1 species